ACAUUUAAAAGUAUGUAACAUGAUUCGUUUGUUUUUCAUGAUGGCUGGAAACGCUAAAAAACCUAUUUACAUUGGAGCUAUUGAUGAAGGAACUAGUAGUGCUAGAUUUGUGAUAUUCGAUGUUAUUAAGAAGAAAGUAAUUACUUUUCAUCAAAUAGAAAUUAAACAGAAAUAUCCUCGAGAAGGAUGGGUUGAACAAGAUCCAAAAGAAAUUUUAAAUGCUGUUUUGGAGUGUAUUGCAAAAGUCGUAGAAAAACUUGAAAAACUUGAAAUUUCUGUGUCUGAUAUUAAAGCUGUUGGUAUUACAAAUCAAAGGGAAACCACAGUUAUAUGGGAUAGAAAAACUGGAGAACCACUUCAUAAUGCAAUAGUUUGGCUUGAUAUGAGAACAACAACAACUUUAGAUGAUAUUUUGGAUACUAUUCCAAAUAAAUCACGAAAUAAAAAUUAUCUUAAACCACUUUGUGGUCUCCCUUUAUCACCAUAUUUUAGUGCUUUAAAAAUACGAUGGCUUAUGGAUAAUGUUCCUCGGAUUGAUCGUGCGGUAGAAGCUGGAACAUGUGCUUUCGGAACAAUAGAUACUUGGCUUCUUUUUAACCUUACAAAAGGUCAAUUGCAUAUAACAGAUGUUUCAAAUGCAUCAAGGACAAUGCUAAUGAAUAUCGAAACUCUUAGAUGGGACAGACCAUUACUCCGUUUCUUCCAAAUUCCUGAUUCAAUUCUACCUGAAAUAAAAUCUAGUGCUGAAAUUUAUGGAUAUAUAUCCAAUCCUCCUUCACUUGCAGGCAUUCCUAUAUCAGGGUGUGUUGGUGAUCAACAAGGCGCUCUUCUUGGUCAAUUAUGUUUAAAACCAGGUCAAGCGAAGGCAACUUAUGGAACUGGAUGUUUUCUUCUUUGUAAUACAGGCAAUGUAAAAGUAGACUCCACACAAGGAUUAAUAACGACAGUAGCAUAUAAACUAGGCCGUUCUGCACCAAUUUAUGCUCUUGAAGGAUCUGUAGCUAUUGCAGGAGCUGCUCUCACUUGGCUUAGAGAUAAUUUACAGAUUUUGAGUUCCAUUUCUCAAACUCAAGAGAUCGCUGGAAAUGUUUCUGACACGUCCGACGUUUAUUUUGUUCCUGCAUUUUCUGGACUUUAUGCUCCAUAUUGGCACCAAGAUGCUCGAGGAGUCAUUUGUGGUAUUAAUGAAGACACUGAUUACCGUCAUAUCAUCAGAGCAUCAUUAGAAGCAGUUUGUUUCCAAGUUCGUGAUAUUUUAGAAGCUAUGGUUAUGGAUUCAAAGACAAAACUCAAUACAUUGCUCGUUGAUGGUGGAAUGACUAAGAACAAUCUUCUCUUGCAACUUCAGGCUGACUUAACUGGUGUUAGAGUUGACCAUACAUGGUUGAAUCUACUGCACUUGGAGCUGCAAUUUUAGCUGGAGUUGGAGCGGGAUUACUUGAUAUAGCAGAUAUCGAAGCUCCACAAACCGCAAAUUUUACUCCACAAAUUAGUGAUGAUGAACGAGACUUGAGAUACUCAAAAUGGAAAUUAGCUGUAGAAAAAUCGAUGAAAUGGGAUCUUAAAUCUAGUAGUAUUGAUUAAUUUCGUACUAUUGUAGAAAAAAAG
rnacentral:misc_RNA from 1 species